UGGGCAAGGGAGGGGAUUGUCCUGCUCUGCUCUGCGCUGGAGUGGCCAGUUUGCACUGCUGUUUGCAGUUUUGGGCACCACAAUAUAAGAAUGCCAUUAAGCUAUUACAGAGCAUCCAAAGGAGGGCCAUAAGGAUGGUAAACGGACUGGAGGGGAAGCUGAAUAAGGAGUGGCUGAGAUCAUUUGGUCUGUUCAGCCUGGAGAAGAAGAGACUGAGGGGAUAUCUCAUCGUGGUCUUGAGCUUCCUCAUCAGGAGAAUAUGAGAGGCAGGAGUUUUCUCUGACGUUUCUGUACAACAGCUUCUUAGAAUUAUUUUGAAGAUGGCAGAACAGUGAUGGUCUACAAAGUCUGACCUGAAAAAAGAGAAGAAUAUUGCAAAAAGGAGUCUCUGCACUAGACGGAUAGAAGUUUGGCAUGAACAUCAAAGAUAGAAUCCUGAAAAAUAUUCUUUUUUCUAAUAACAAAGAUGUAACACUGUAAAGUUAGCCUGAAAAUAGACUUAUUCAGUCUUCCA